rnacentral:rRNA from 1 species
ACUCCUACGGGAGGCAUCAGUAGGGAAUUUUCCCGCAAUGGACGAAAGUCUGACGGAGCAAUGCCGCGUGAGUGAUGAAGGUUUUCGAAUCGUAAAGCUCUGUUGUAAGGGAAGAAUNGCAAGAAUAGGAAAUGAUUCUUGUCUGACGGUACCUUACCAGAAAGCCACGGCUAACUACGUGCCAGCAGCCGCGGAUAAUACGGAGGGUGCGAGCGUUUAAUCGGAAUUACUGGGCGUAAAGCGCGUGUAGGUGGCUUGUUAAGCCAGAUGUGAAAGCCCGGGCUCAACCUGGGAACUGCAUUUGGAACUGGCAGGCUAGAGUUUUGUAGAGGGUGGUAGAAUUUCAGGUGUAGCGGUGAAAUGCGUAGAGAUCUGAAGGAACACCGGUGGCGAA